CUCCUGGGAAGUCCUCGUGUUGCACCCCU
rnacentral:rRNA from 3 species